UACGGAGGGUGCAAGCGUUAAUCGGAAUUACUGGGCGUAAAGCGUGCGCAGGCGGUUUGUUAAGUCCGUUGUGAAAGCCCCGAGCUCAACUUGGGAAUUGCAGUGGAUACUGGCAGGCUGGAGUACGGUAGAGGAAGGUGGAAUUCCCGGUGUAGCAGUGAAAAUGCGUAGAUAUCGGGGAGGAACACCAGUGGCGAAAGGCGGCCUUC
rnacentral:rRNA from 1 species